GGGGGAUUAGCUCAGUUGGGAGAGCGCUACAAUGGCAUUGUAGAGGUCAUCGGUUCAAGUCCGUUAUCCUCCAC
rnacentral:tRNA from 1 species